rnacentral:rRNA from 1 species
UGCGCAGGCGGGCUUUUAAGUCAGUGGUGAAAAGCUGCCGCUUAACGGUAGUCUUGCCAUUGAUACUGAAGGUCUUGAGUUUGGAUGAGGUAGGCGGAAUGUGCAGUGUAGCGGUGAAAUGCAUAGAGAUUGCACAGAACACCGAUUGCGAAGGCAGCUUACUAAUCCACUACUGACGCUGAGGCACGAAAGCGUGGGGAGCGAACAGGAUUAGAUACCCUGGUAGUCC